rnacentral:lncRNA from 1 species
CUGAACCCCUCUCCCUCUGCUGUCUGGCCUCCUGCUGUGGGCAGCAGCUGACCAGGAUCCUGGGUGUGGCUCUCUACAACCUCUGAGCCCUGACCAAGGGAGCACUGUGUCCUGAGUCCCCUUGCCCUCUAUCACCUCUUUGGGUUCUGGGGUGGAUGUGUGUAGCCCUGGCCUUGUUGCAUGGAUGGGGGCUCCUGUGUCUCUAGAGAGUGGUGACAGAGAGAGACCCUGCCAGGGCCUCCUGACCCAGCCACGUCUGGCUCCAUCCUGGCUGCUGCUUCCUCCUGUCCACUGGGCACUAUCCAUUCUCCUGUUUCAUGGGGAGCCGCCAGUGGCUGGCAGAGGGGCAGAGACCUCAGUUGUGGGCUCACUGCAGAAGGAAGUGUCAAACCUGGUGACCUCCCAGGGAUGUUGGGGCAGACUCUGAGAGCUCCAGUCCAAUUGCCUGAACCCCUGCUGUGCUGGCUCAGGAAUAUGUCUCUGCAAGAUGGGGACCCAGGGCCCUGGGUGUGAGUUCUAGCUCUAGUUCUAGAGUUGCCCACACACUAUGGAGCUGGGCCUUCCUCCCACGUGGCUCCACAGGGUCCUGCCAGGGCCUGGGAGGACAGUUCCUUCUGCUCAGAACCUUGGAGCAGUGACCCUUCAAGCUGAAGCCUGUCUGCUCUGUCCUGAGGGUCACCUGCAGAUCCACCUGCCAAGUUCCUAGGCCCCCCGGCCUGUGCCCACCAGUGCCCCAGAUCUGGAGUCUCUCAAGCGAAUCGCUGUACUUGUGCCUGGUCCGCAGACAGAGUGCUCUCGCUGUCCCUGGGUGCCAGGUGUUGGAGCCAGAGGAGCCUGAGAGGGUCACCUGGGUGGAUGGAAGCUCCUGAGCAGAGAGCACCUUCUUCAGGCUGAAGCUCAGCGGCGCCCCCUGCCGGCCACGGGCACAACCCGCAGGGAUGAAUAAAGAUGGACUGGCAAGACCCAGAACGUUUCCCAGCCCAGAUUUGGGGUGGGGUCCCCAUAGGAGGGCAGAGGGGAAGACCCAGCUGGUCUUGGACUGAGGGUGGUCUGGCCGCUCGUGGGUGCGCACUCCUCAGGUCCCUGUAGGCAGCCGGCACUGCAAGGCCCAAAGUGAACUUGGAAGUGUCCUCCUCCGCGGGGCAGAGUGAGUAGCCAGCUAAGAAGACUUUCCCUGGAAGGGAACUUGUCCGGGGCUGUUCAUGCGGAGAACGGAAUGUGCUCCCGCCAGGAGCAGUGGCUGAUAGGCCGGCCCAAAGAAGGUCAGCAGGGUCCACUGGGCAUGGCGUGUUCUGGGGGUGCCUGG